AGCGAACGCUGGCGGCAGGCUUAACACAUGCAAGUCGAGCGGGCGUAGCAAUACGUCAGCGGCAGACGGGUGAGUAACGCGUGGGAACAUACCUUUUGGUUCGGAACAACACAGGGAAACUUGUGCUAAUACCGGAUAAGCCCUUACGGGGAAAGAUUUAUCGCCGAAAGAUUGGCCCGCGUCUGAUUAGCUAGUUGGUGAGGUAACGGCUCACCAAGGCGACGAUCAGUAGCNGGUCUGAGAGGAUGAUCAGCCACAUUGGGACUGAGACACGGCCCAAACUCCUACGGGAGGCAGCAGUGGGGAAUAUUGGACAAUGGGCGCAAGCCUGAUCCAGCCAUGCCGCGUGAGUGAUGAAGGCCCUAGGGUUGUAAAGCUCUUUUGUGCGGGAAGAUAAUGACGGUACCGCAAGAAUAAGUCCCGGCUAACUUCGUGCCAGCCGCCGCAGU
rnacentral:rRNA from 1 species